GCCUGUAAGGAGUGAUGGGGGGUGGUGAGGACCUGUGAGGGUUAAUGGGGGGCUGUGAGAGGUGGCUGUGAGUGACAGUGGGAGCUUUGAAGGAUCAGGCUGUGAGAGGUGACAGUGAAGGACUGUGAGGCAUCAGGGGGAUGCAGGGUAAUGAUGAGCGGCUGUGAGAGGUGAUGGGGACUGUGAGAGCUGGUGGGUGGUGGUGAGGGGCAGUGUGGGCAGACAGGGCAGUAGGAGCAGUGUUGUGAUAAGGGUAUAGAAAUUUGGCAGAAAAGAAACACCCUUGUUCAGCUGGUCUUUGGAGAUCAGAGGGGCUGGGGUUGGCUGGGCUUAAUCUCUGAUUAUAACCAAUUUGGCACUGUAAGUGGUUGUGUUCAAUAGGAACUUCCGCAAGCACAGGUUCUCAAACUGGGAAUCCGGUAAUAUUCUAUUAGAAUUUUCACCAUCACAAAUUCAUGAACAGUGUGGUUUACUGAAGCAGCAGAAAUACAAGGGAGAAUGGCUUCAAACUGAAAGACAGUAGGUUUAGAUUAAAUAUUAGAAAGAAAUUCUUUACUGAGAGGGUGGUGAUGCCCUGGCACAGGUUGCCCAGAGAAGCUGUGGCUGCCCCAUCCCUGGAAGUGUCCAAGGCCAGGUUGGACGGGGCCUGGAGCAACCUGGGCUAGUGGAAGGUGUUCCUGCCCAUGGCAGGGGUUGGGACUAGAGCCAGACCAUGUCUCCACAGAACCUGCUCCUCCAGCCAGCUGAGCCUUUCCUGACAUCAGCUGUGCAGAUCUCCAUCCACAGAGAUAACUCAGAGGAUACACAGCAUAGGCUGCAGAUAUUCAGCCCUAGCCCUUUGCCUGGCUCCUUGGUCAUCAUCCCGCAGACAGCAGUGAGGGGUGAGGAGGCCUUGGGCUGUGUUUCUGCCCUUUGGGCUGGGUAAAGCUCAGGGCAAAUACUGGAUACAACUACUGCUUUAGGAAAGCUUUAAAAUCUGACUACUUUUGUGCUCAGUAACAAUGUGACUGCUUUUUUGCAAAGCCUACAAUGUCCGGGACAGAAAUUGGUUCAUUUUAAAGAUGGAGGAUUUCCAUAGUGUUUAUUUGACUUGGCUUGGCAGCAGUGUUCUGUUUACGACUGGAUAAAUAACUGCCACAUUAAAGAUUAUUAACUAGCAAUGCUUCAGUGACCAAUAAAGUCCUAAUCUUUUA